UUUUCAAUUAAUAUUUAUUAAAACUAUUUUUAAAUAUGUUUUUUUUUUUAAUUUACAGGUCUACUGGUGAUAAGAACCGGUCUUGAUCUCGUCGUGCCUCACCACGAGGUCGUAGUGGUACGGGAGCCAUUCUCAGGGUUCGUCCAGCCACUCUCGGGGUUCGUCCAGCCACUCUCGGGGGUCGAGCAGCCACUCUCGGGAUUCUUCAUUUCCCGCUCCGGUUUUUGCUCCCGCUGCUGCACCCCCUCCCGUUGCUGCACCCCCUCCCACUGCUGCACCCCUCCCGCUCCUCCAGUCGUUCUAGGAGUGAUGAAUAUUGCCCAGUUGGUUCAACAGCCCGGUCGUGAGCAUCUUAUCUAUCUCACUCCGUGUCCAAAAGGGACGACGUCAAACAUUGUAAUUAAAAGUCUUUUUUUUUUCUUUCAUUAAAAUUUGAUUCAUUAUUAAUAAUUUGUUUCUUAUAUUAGGUUCAACCGAUCCGGGAACGGGAUCAGCGCAUGGAUCAACAAUCUGAUGUACUCGAACCUCAGCAAGGGAUAUCCGACUUUCACUCACGUCCCUGCCGAGGACCAGGAGAUGUGGUUUCGUCAGUUUGCGCAAGAGUUCACCUGGAAUCCCGAUCACACGAACUUUAUCUGUGACGCCUUCGUCCAUAAAGUUAUGGACAACUAUAGGAAGUAGAUCCACGAGUGGAAGCAGAAGUGGCUCAUCAACCAGGUUUUUUUAAUUUGUUAAACAAUUUUUUGAAUUUAUUAAACUAUUUUUGGAUUUAUUAAACUAUUUUAUAUUUUUUUAUUAAAAGGUCCCGAAGUCGAUCAACAACACGGUUUGGGAGGAGUUGUGUGUGCAUUGGGAUAAGGACGAGACGAAAGCUACCUCCGUGACCAACUCCACCAACCGAAAGAGCGAUCGUGGCGGGAAGGGCAUGUACAAGCACAAUUUGGGUGCCCAGACUAUUGCCACUCUGGGGGAUCGUUUGGUAAGUUCAAUCUCUCUUUUUUUUUUAAUUAUUUAAGUAUUUUUAUUUUAUUUUUUAUGCAUUUCUUCUAAUUUUUAAUGUUUGUUUAACUUUUGUUUUUUUCAAGGCGGAUGAAAAUGAUGGCGAGCCGGUUGAUGAUUUCGUCCUAAUGAUGACGGCGCAUACCAACAAGCACACCGGGGAGAUUGAUGAUGGUGUUGUGAGGGAUGUGCUCAGCCUGAUCGAAACUCAGAAGGAAGAUGAAGAGACUCGUCUAUCUCAGCUUCAAACCGACCUGGACGCCACUUCGACGGCUUCGACCAACUUGUCCCCCAUUCGAAUCAACGAGAUCGUUGAAUCGGUAUGUUCUUUAUAAAAAAGUUCAAUUCAUUUAUUUCUUUAUUUUCAUUUUAUCAUCUUUUCUAUUGUUUAAAUUUGUUUAUUUUCUAUUUCAGUCGGUUCCAAAGAAGAAGGGACGUUUGGUCGGUUCGGGUCGUCGAGCCCGGUCGGUUCCUCCUUCUGCACCACAGCCCUAUGUUGAUCCAGAAGUGCUUAUGGACCAGUUGAAGGACAAAGAUGACCGCAUAGCUGCGUUGGAGCAAAAGAUGGCGGAUCAAGAGGCGGGAUGGGAGGCAACGAGGAAGCAGAACGAGCAAAUGAUGGAGAUGAUGAAGAGGAUG